rnacentral:rRNA from 1 species
UACGGAGGGGGCUAGCGUUGUUCGGAAUUACUGGGCGUAAAGCGCACGUAGGCGGCUUUGUAAGUUAGAGGUGAAAGCCCGGGGCUCAACCCCGGAAUUGCCUUUAAGACUGCAUCGCUUGAACGUCGGAGAGGUGAGUGGAAUUCCGAGUGUAGAGGUGAAAUUCGUAGAUAUUCGGAAGAACACCAGUGGCGAAGGCGGCUCACUGGACGACUGUUGACGCUGAGGUGCGAAAGCGUGGGGGAGCAAAACAGG